CUUCUGUCAAUUCAGCCAUCUCAGCCUCAGACCAACUCUAUGCUCUUGCUGGAGAGGUGUUGCAGUUAUUUGGAGGAGAACUAGCACUCUGGCUCUUUCACUUCAGUUUGUCAGAACCAGUUGGGAUGCAACAGGAUUUUCAGUUUUGCUGCCUUCCAUGCAUGAAUGGCUGUUGGAAUGACCAAGAUGAUUUUUCCACCCAUUCUUGGGACCUGGACUAUGAUGGCCACAGCAGCUAAAGAUGCCAGGUUCUGCAUACUAUGAAACUACUACAUCAGCAGGUCCAAAGGACUCCACUGACUCAACUGAUCUGAGGGACCCCAUGAGAAGCCUACUCAUCAAAGAAUGCAGUUUCUAAAUCCUGAUGAGUUCACCCCCCUUGCCCUGACCAAUCAACAAUCCUAAUUCUCCAGUCCCUUGCCCUCCAUGAUCCUCUUAAAAACCCUAGCCCAGAAUUCCUCAGGAAGAUGGAUUUGAGGGUCUCCUUCCAACUCCUCACUCAGCGCCCUGUGGUCAUUAAACUUUCUCUGCUGCA
rnacentral:lncRNA from 1 species